CUAAACCCCCUCUUCUCUUCAGCGACGAGACCUUCCUCUCCCAUUCAAAAUCUGCAGCCCUCGGUUUCAUCUCCCCAUUCGAAAUCUAUUGUUCCCUGAGUCCACCUUCCCUCUUCUACAGCAACAAUCCCUCUUCUGCAGCAACGACCCCGUGUGAUGAGACCACCCUCCCGCAGCGUGCUUCAUCCCUCUCGACCACCCUGCAGAAAAUCGGUGGAAGAUCCACCACCUCUUGAUCACCCCUCCAAAGAUCUGAGGCCACAGAGGAGUUUUCCCCACUCCGGUAAACUUAAAAAGAAAGAACAUAUGCUCGAUUAGUUUGGGUUUGUGAAAGAACAUUUUGCUAGUAAUGCCAAUGCUGAAGAAGUGGCUUCGUGGAAAGCAUAGAUAAGUAGGAAGAAUUUUUUUUUUUUGGGGUUUGGGAUUGGAUGCUUGUAGUCUCUCAUUCUCCAUUUGAUCUCGACUGGUAUGUGUAUGGAAUAUGCUUAUUACAUGUUCUAGUAGCAAUGCUUAUCCCAUGUUCUAGUAGCUAAAUUGAAAAUGGGUAUGGAAUAUGCUUAUAGAGUGAUAAUUAUAAGAGAACUGCGUGCUCAGGGAAAUAAACAAAGCAAAAGAAAUAUAGUUAUUGCAUGCAUACACGUAUGACAAAUAUAUAAUCUCCAAGUAGAAUGUGAUUCUCUCUUUUCCCAUAUAUUAUUUUUUACUCAAUAUUUCCCCUUUCCACAAUAGGCUGAACCGAGAGUUACUUAUUACUUACUAUAUUUGGGCCAGAUUAUACCACAAGCAAUAUGCUCAAGGUAUGUUUUUCUCUGAGUAUAGACACCAUCACAACACCUUUUGAUUGUCUCUCAUUCUCGUGGACUUUGACAGGUUAUCUUUUCUAAGAUCAUAGACCAUGUCUUCCAGAUUGCACUUCUAAUUCCUUGGUUUCCUCUUGAUAUUUAUGUGAACUUUGGUGGGUUUUAGUUUGAGGGUUUACCAGUUUUAAAGGAUUUGCAAUCCAGGUAAUCAAGUAAUCGAAUAUUGGUUUCUAGGGUCAAAUUCUAAUGGAUUUUCUGUUUGGAGCUAACAUUUGAGUUAGUCAGGUUUUAAUUGUAAUGUGUUGAUGAUCCAACCUUAUUGUGCUCUAAUCAAUGUGUUUUGUUUUAUAUAUAUUGUUUUGGACAACUUUGCUGGUGUUAGUCAUGGGAUUUGAGGUGUUAGUCAUGGGAUUUGAAGUGUUUUUUUUUUUUUUAAUUUUAUUGUUAGGGAGAAUCUGGACAGUCAAAUUCAAGUGCAGGGGUAGUUGUGCCAUAUUACAUUAACUCUUUGAAGUGUUUAUAAGUGUUUAGGAGAACCUGGAUGUUGCUUCUUGUCUUUAGAAGAUAUGUAGCAGAUAUGUAUGAAGACUGGAAUGGGUCAGAAUUUGUGGUCAUCAUUCUUGUUCAAGAUCUAGUUUUGACAUUUGGUAAACAUUCAACCCAGAGGAUGAUGCUGGGGAGUUUGCAGAGUUUCUUUGCCCCUUCUCCAUUUUGCACUAGAGAAGCGACCAAUUGCUCAGUAGUGUCUGCAACACCCAUGGCUCAAUCUCAGGAAUUCAACAGAGGAUGAGAUGAAAAAUGAAGCUAAUCUGGGAAAUGUGAAUGUUGGGAUGAGCAACCUUAAUUCAUCUAUGAAAAAGUGGUGAUGACUCUAUAAAGGGAAUGAGAGAUUUGUCUUCAACUGUAAAUACCCUUUGGCAGCCUUUUAUCACCCAAUAUUAAGACAAAUACAGCUGCUACUUCAGAAGAAGGACCUGCACCUACAGCUGCAGCUUCCGAAGCAACCUUACCCUCUGGACGACGUGCAUACAUAGUACACACAGAUAAGACGAAUUCCAGAAAAGUCCAAAAGACUUCAAGAUGAGAAUAUUCCAGGAAUAUAAUCUGAUGUGUACCAAUCAUUUGCAUUUUGGUUGUUAUGAAAAGUCUAUAAAUAUGGGCUCUGUUUGUAUCUAGGAUGUAUGGAAAAGUAAAAGAAUUCUAAACGAAAGAAAACUUCUUUCAGUCAUUUUAUCGAGUAGCUGCAGUGCCUAGCU